UAAUUACUAAUGGUCAGGUUGAUCCCUCAACUCAACCUGACCCAACUGCACAUCAAGUUGAGUAAUUCAAAGUUUUUGAACAGAACACAGUUUGAUUAAUGCAUGUAUCGCCAAUAUUUUUUACUGUGUAAAUUCCAGGUGUUGAUGGGAUUCAUCUGCUAGCACAAUGGUUUGAUUUUCAGAUUCAUUGCUCCGAAGAUGACCGGAUAUCAGAUUCAUUGCUCCUUGCGUGUGUACUAGUUGAUUUUGGAGGUUCUUUUAUAAUGAGCAUACUGUUCCCAGCCUCAUCAUGAGAUCAGGAAGCAAGCUUGCUCAGAUCAGCAACGUAACAUUGCAUGCAGAAUGUCAGGGGCUACUGUCAGCCUCAUGGAAGAUAGACCUGAGCUAACUGAAAAGGUGGUCCAAAUAUCCGGUAGUUCCGAGCAGGCUGAGAGAGCCCAGAGCCUUCUCUGGGGAUUUAUUCUGAGCACACAAGAUGCCAUACCAAGCUAAAUCUGAGCUAUGGGUGUUGUAAAGCCAAGAUCUUGUAAGGUAGCAAUGGAUGCUUUCAGUUUUCACCAGUAAUCUGUUUUCCCAGAAUCUGGCAGUUAUCAACAAUCUUUGUAUAAAAGGCUAAAAGAAAAGAAUGGCCGAUUGAGAAGCUGAGGAAGUUUGAGGUCCCCAAAGCUCCAAAAUAUAUUUUCCUAUCAUUUGUCUAAUGGGACAUGCACCAAUGCACUCUGCCAACACUCUUAUAUAACCUGUCUUGCUGCAGCAGAAAAAAAAUGUAAUUUCUGUCUCAAAAUCUUCAAGCAAAUUUCAUUUAUUUUUAUAUUAGUUUCAUUUGAUAGCAUACGAAAGACACGUAUCUUUAAUUGAUACAUUUUCUUGUGGA